ensembl:lncRNA
GGAUCUGGAUGUGGGCACUACUAGGGCCCGUCCCAGCCCCAGCUUAAGAGUGGGGACCGCCCAGGGGGUGGCUGACGAGGGUGUCUUGCCACUUUGCUGAGUGAAAGUGGUGGGGCAUAGAAAGGAGGCGCCCCGGUGUGUCUGCCCCGCCAGGGCUGGGGAUAGUCAACCUGCCAGUCAUGGCCACCAUGGAGUUGGUGGUUGGCUUGGCAACCAGAGCUCGGGGGAGGACGACGGGGUCUCCCAACAGUGGAAAGACAGGGGCUUUGGCUUUUCAGGUUUCCUGGAUACUCUAGAUACCUUUUCUUACACUCCAGUUUCCUUUUCAUUUUUCAAAUUAGAGGCAGCAAAAGGACUCUCUUCCAUAGACCAAGGGAGAAAGCUGUGGGGUGGGCUAUGGCCUUCAGCUUUGAAACCCAAACCCUCCAAGAAAGCCUGUUUUCUUGGGAGGGGAGGAUGGGAGCUGUGGGCUGAGGCAGCCUCUGUCCUUGGAGCUGAAGGCCUCAGAGUGGCCUGGAAUGGAGGUAGAAGCCUGUGGCCUGGCCUGUGGCUUCCAAGGGCACCCUGGUUGGUGACGGGGCUUGUGGCUCUUGCUUCUCGGUCGGGCAGGCUGAGAGUGGGAAGUGUUGGGCAUCAGAGCAGAGUUCUGGGCACACGUGUGUGUAAAAGUGCAUGUAAGUGUGAACAUGUGCUGUGCAUAUGGGAGCACACACCUGCAGAGCCCAAAUUAGAGCAAAAGGACUGACUCGUUCAGCAGUUCAAGGCCUCGGUAUAUUCUUACUGUGGGCCACAUGCAGAAUUGAAGGGGUGGGGAUGGCAGGCCUUGAACUCCCCUUGACUUUGUUAAAACCGCUCUGGGGAGGAGGCGGGCUUCCCCGGUGCCCCAGACAGCAGUGUGCCUGCAGCACGGGAGACCCGGUUUCGAUCCCUGGAUUGGGAAGUUUCCCUGGAGGAGGAAAUGGCAACCCACUCCAGGAUUCUUGCCUGGAGAACUCCAUGGACAGAGAAGCCUGGUGGGCUACAGUCCAUGGGGUGGCAGUCAGAUAUGACCGAACUACUAACACUGGGGAGAGGUCAGAGGUGUCCCCAUGGGGCUCUGCUCCGCCCUGCAGAGGCCCAGUGGUCCUUGCAGCCAGCCCCAAGGGCUAGACCUGCCCAGCAGACUCCUCAGAAGCAGCCAGCCCUGAAGACAGUAUUUACAAGGAGAGGUUCUAGGGGCCAGUGCCCCCUUGCCUACUGGGGCUGAUCCACAGAGAGCGUCCCAAAAAGUUGAAGGCCAGAGGGUGGGGGUGAGGAGCUUGUGGAAAACACGCCAAAUUCAGGUCCCAGGGCAGAGGCCAAGCCUCGUGCAUCUUCCUGUCCACUGCUUCAGCUUAUCUGUUCAGAAAGUGAUCCAGGGAGAGCUGGGCAGCAUUGGCUCCAAAACUGGGGGUGGAGCGGAGGGGCUAACGGCAAACAAAACCCCAGCCCACCUCUUGCUCUUUGCCAAAAUCGUUUCCGUUAUCCCGAGAUGGGGGUGAGUGGAUGUUGGCUGCACAGCGGGGUUCAGAGAGGCCGCUGUCCUGCCCAGGGCCUUGCCUUGGGGGUCUGACACGCCCCGGGUCACCAGCAGUACCAGUGGCACUUAUAUCUAUCUGUCCCACGUUCUGGGCGCGGGGAGAACGGAGCAGCCCUGCCCAGGGCCCUCACACUUUCUUUCUUGAAGAAACACAAAACCCUCGAGAUUCAUGUACUGUAUGACGGAGAGAAAAAAGUACCUAAUGUUCCCCCAAAAAAGACAGUAUAUUUUGUACUUUGUAAAGUGUUCAUUAAAAUGGAAGAAAAAACAAA